CAGCCCCAUCCUGCUCAUCUGCUCCGAGCCAAGCCUGCUUUUGACAAGUGCUCAGGAAAUUAUUAAGCUUAUUCUCUGUCUCACUUCACCUUUGAGUAUUUACAAAUGUCACGGGCAGUGUUUGUGGAAGCCAGCCAGCUGUGGCAUUUUUUUUCUCUCCCUCCUGUUCCUUUUUAUGUACCAUUAUCAAAACCAUAGCAGAGAUAAAAUUCAGCAUGAUCUCAUCAGAACUCUGCAAGAGCUCAGGAAUCCAUUUCCAUUUACAAGAGGGUUUGCAUUUAUCCUUGUCCCCAAAGGCUGACUGCGAGCCUCAAGCUGUAGUCAAGUCUCUUCUCAAGUAGAAGCUGCAAUUUCUGAUCAGAACCAGUGUGAACAAGUACUACUACAAUAGCAGGGGCUGAAAGAAGAACUGCCACUGGGAAACUGAGACUAGCUUAUGAGAACAUUGGCAUGUUCUUCUAGUAUAUUUGGCUGUCUUCCUGCAGAAGACUGAUCAUUUUCUCACCCUCACAACCUCUGCUGUUGGGUUAAACAUUCAUCUUAUCCAUAAGAACCAGAUCUCAAUACCACUUGGGCUGCUGCUGCGCAAGAGGAGUGGAGUGACAGAGAUCAGGAAACCACCACAGUUCUGAUUCAACCUGUAUCUUCUGUGAAGCUGAUAAGUAAUUUAUCUGCCCUGGUGCAGGGCUGUGGGGGAAAGACUCAGUGCUGAAGUGCUGAGAAGCAGAGGGGCAUGCAGAGAGCUGAGAUGAAGAUGAAAUUAGAAAAAAUUCUCUGCAUACCCCUAGGAAGACUGUACAAGCAGCCAGGGAAAAGACAUUUUUUUUACAUGUAUAUUCAGGAGGGAUUUUGAGAACAUACAUCUCCUUCCUAAGCCAUAGAAGUCAGGUGUAAUGUCCCUCUUUCCCAGAUGAAGUUAUUGUAGAGUCCUGAAACUGAACCACAUCUUAUGUAGAUACUCAUAUUCAUGCUUUUUGUGCAUGGAGAGCUGGUGUUAAUUGAAGUGAUUUGGGGUGUCUCUGCUUUAGCUCUGCUUGAAUUACAUCAAAAUAAUUCUGAUUUUGAAAAACUGGCACUCUACAUCAUUAAACCCAUUUAAGACUAGGCUCCAAAAACUUAUUUCCCCCAAAUCACUCAUUGCCUGGGAAAUACUUUCCCUUCAGUCCCCAAUCAAAAUCUCUGCAGAAACCAAACCUGGUUCUGACCUUACUUAAAACACUGAAAAUCUCAAAUUUUAAAGCCAGAUUUAUGCCACAUAUUUCAAUGCAAUUAUUCUCUUGCAUAUCUAUCUAAGACAAGAAACUCUCUCUAGCUCUGUAGCCUUUUAUUGCUAGUACGCUUCUUUACUUGUUUUUUUCAGAACUAAAGGAUCAAAGCAUGAAGAAUUGGUCUCCACUGACUGCAACACACCAAGGAAUAGAUAUACUUUUCUUUUAAUUUUCUGCAUUAUAGUCUUGAAAGCCAGCCUUAACAGUUGCCCAACAAGAUUGAAUUUUUAUUACGCUUGUCUAAACCCAUUAAUGAGAACGCCGGUUUCAAAAGUUAGUCUAAGAAAAUACCAAAGUGAGCAAUGCCACACUUCCUCAGUCCACCCCUUUUAUCUGACUUUUUCAGUGUUUUACUUCCAGCCCUUUCCCUUCUACUCGGUCUGUUCCUAUUAUCUUCUGUAUACGUGUCAUACUCAUUAGCUGCCAACUGUAAUUCAUGAGUUGAUAAGUUUGGGAGACUAAGAACUGAACAGUGCACCAUUUGGAGCACAUCUCUACAAGAUAUUAACACAUGGUGAUGUGCCACAAAAUUGGAGGGUGGAAAGUGGCCCUUUGGUUGACAAAGCCUGGGCUAAUUUUUUUAUUUCCUUGCCAGCUGCUGAGUAGCUUCCACUGAAGAGCCAUCAUCCAGUCCCAAGGGGAUUUUGUGGAAUUUUUAGUUAAUCAUUCUCUUGUUUCUCUGUUAAACCUUCCAGCAUAUUGCCUCCUCUUUCCGGCUUUCUUCCAACUUUGGUGGCAGUUUCCCAGGAGCAAUAAAUUCAAGAGUCUGUGUAUCAAUGAACAGAAGUGUCCACUGGAACUCAAAGGAGAACUUCUGCCCCCAGAGAAGGAGAGCAGGACCCUGGUGACAUUCAGAUCCAUACUUACCCAAUGCAAUGGCUAUCGAAGAUAUUUCAGACUUUUCUCAUCAGGCAGCAUCUCUCUUUUUUUCUCCCUCCAAAUCUGUAAAUUAUGAUGUCUUUACUUUUUGUAUAUUUAUGAAAUAUAUUAAUAAAAUUCACCUUUUGUGAUAGCAAAUGCUGGGAGUUCCUCCUACACACAGCUGCUGAAUAAACACUAAACCCAUCAUUGUAUAUCCCACAUUUAUUUAAAUUGUAGAGAUUAUUUUCACCGUUUUUUGCUGAAAUAGAACCAGAAAAGUGCUGUUGCUUCUCUUCUUCACUGUACAUCUACACAGGCAUUUUCACAUUUUGCAGCUUCAUUUAAUUUACUCUCCCUUACAUGUCUUUUGGCAGAGGCAAUUCCCAGCUCUCUUUAUCACUGAUCAUCAUUUUGGAUCUCUUUUAGCUGCACAUACUCCUUACCUCCUUUGGCGCCUUUCCACAGAUCCUCUGUCCUCAUGGAUAUUCUUGGCACUUUGCACUUGAGUAAGAUCUGCGAAUUUUAUUCAUGCUUGUGUUCAUUUCUCUGCCAAAUCAUGAAUGAGGAUGUUAACUAACACUGAUCCAUUUGGAUAUUCCACUAAACUGCUUUCCUGCAAUGCCAUGUAAUAUUAUGCAUGAUUCAUUACCCUCUGUUCUUUGUUUUCAGCAUUUUAGUUAACGAUCGGGCUAUGCAGUGGCUCAGAGAGGCUGAUUUUAAUUUAUGUGGCAAGAACAUUCAUGGGACAUUAUCUCACAUGCUUUGGUAUGGACCAUAUAAUUUUUUAUAUCUACUGUAAUCACUUCAAUGUUGUUAUUCUAUUAUUAAAAAUAAAAAGUCCACUUGUAUCUGAACUUAAUUUAUCCAUUUACACUCAUGCAAAGUCAAUGAAAAGCACAACUAACUCGAAACAGUAGCUCCUCCUACAUCUGAUUGCAAAUAAUAGAAAACUGAGACUUUUAUUAACAUCAUAGCUCAUGUUGCCUUAGGGCAGGGGUCUGUGUGGGAAGGGAGUUGCUUUUCCACCUGCCUAAGAUAAACUAGUCAAAAAAAACUCGUUUCAAACUCUUCCUGAGUAAAUACACUCUAAUUUCCAAAACAGGACUAAAUUCAGUCCAAGUGUAUUUUUGUGAGUGGAGAGAAUGAAGAAGAGACAUCAGCAAAAAGACAGCAAAAAGCACCUGCUGUUUUUAUGAAGUUGCGCUUUAUUAUUUCCUAUGCUUGAGCUAUAACGGUGAAAUCUCUGAAAUGUCUUUUUUUAAAAAAAAAAUUAAAAAAAACUUUAGGUUUUUUUUUGAGAAAAAAAGCCUAAAAUGUGUCCCAUCAUUGAAUUCUAUAAGGUUUUUCUUGUUAUAAGCAAAGGCAAUGUUUAUUCUCAAAAUACAAUGCCAUUCAGCAAAGAGAUUCCAGGAAAACUGGCACCUCCACAUCCAUCAUGUGUCACUGCUGCUUCCCGCAAACCAAGCAGUGAUGGGACGAUCAGCUGGAUGCUGUCCUCCAUCCUUCAUUUCAUCACAUCUUUUGCCAACUAAACUUCAAGGGGACAGUCUUUAAGAGUGGAGAUCAAAUAAGAAGCAGGAAGUGUGAAUAAAAAGCUCCAUUUUCUGAUCCCAGGCCAGUGGAAAAGAUGUCUGUUAAUUUAUGAAUGAAUCAGUUUUGUGCUGGAAGCCAUUUGCAAGGAAUGUGUUCUUGGUCUCUUGCUUCACACUAGUCAACGCAAAGCCACCUAUUGAUGUCAAGCUGCAUCUCGGCCACCACUAUUUUGCUAACCUUAAUAUUAAUCCUGGUCUCCAGCACAAAUGAUUCACAAGUUUCAUUAGAGCAAAAGGUCUACUGAAACCUCCAGACAAUUCCUCUGGAAAGCUGAGAGCGUACUUAGAUUCCAUAGACAUCUGUACUUGGAUUCAAAUUACAUUCUUAGCUAUAUUUCUCCUCCCACUGCUUUUAAAUCUCCAGAAAAACAUAACUUUAGAAAGGAAGGCUGCAUUCCCUAACAGCCAAGAGGAAGAUUUACAAGCCAGAUGGUGAUACUUAAAAUAAAUAAUGAAAAAUUAUGCAAGUUAAUUUUUCCUCUCUUUCAGUGUGAAAACAUCACCAUCCCUUCCUCCUACUAAUCUCCAUCUCAAGAUGACUGAGUACUCUACCCUCAAUAAAUCCUUCUGCACUAAUUAAAAACCCUUUCCUAGCAAUGCUAGAGACGUUGGAAGAUACACCUCCUGUCAUUAGAAACAAGAAAGGAUGAGUUCGUAGAAAUAAUAAGUGGAAUGGAUAGAUAAGUUCUCCUUGCUGCCAUCCUCCCCACAAAAUAAGUUUCUGGCUUUCAUUAAAAAAAAGAAUGCAAAAAUACAGGGAAAACAAAACACAACACCCUGGCUUUUGGUGGCCAACAGAUUAUAUUUUCAGUUUCUAGCCAAUGGAUUUUGUCAACUAAAAUCCAAAACCACUAGUGGCUUUAAGCAAAAUAAAACAAAAAGUAAGCCAGCAAACCACUUUCUCAAAAUAUAUCUCUUUCCCUUCAAAAAUGGUUAAGGAUGAAAUGCUUCAUUUUGCAACCACAAAAUAUUUAUCUUAAAAAAACAGCAAGAUCCUCAUUUCUGGCUGCCAUACGUUGCUUCCAUGAGAGCAUUGGGACACAUCUGGGACUGGAGAGCUCUGCUUGGGACCAGGGCUUAACACUGUAUUUUGUUGUGCAUUGCAAAAUCACUCUGUGGCUCAUCAUGAGGGAAACCAAGUGAAAUUAUAGGUCUUGUGUAACAAAAUAAGUCCAACUGAGUGGUCUAAUACUCCUUUUUGGCACUAAAAUGUAUGAAUUGAUAAAACAUUGUGAACUUUUGCAAUGUGUUUCCUUCCACAUUGUUGUCACUUUGCAUGUCAUUCAUCAGAUGACAUGCAGAUGUCUAAAGUUAAGUAGAAGAAUCCUGCUUUA